GACGAACCGUGCAAACGUUGUUCGGAAUCACUGGGCUUAAAGGGCGCGUAGGCGGGCUCGCCAGUCAGGGGUGAAAGCCCACGGCUCAACCGUGGAAGUGCCUUUGAUACUGCGAGUCUCGAGGGAGGUAGGGGCGUGCGGAACUUCCGGUGGAGCGGUGAAAUGCGUAGAUAUCGUUUGGAACGCCAAUGGUGAAAACAGGUUGCUGGGAGUGCGCUGACGCUGAGACACGAAAGCCAGGGGAGCGAACGGG
rnacentral:rRNA from 1 species